CCUACGGGUGGCAGCAGUGAGGAAUAUUGGUCAAUGGUCGGGAGACUGAACCAGCCAAGCCGCGUGAGGGAGGAAGGUACAGAGUAUCGUAAACCUCUUUUGUCAGGGAACAAAGGCGGGGACGUGUCCCCGGAUGAGUGUACCUGAAGAAAAAGCAUCGGCUAACUCCGUGCCAGCAGCCGCGGUAAUACGGAGGAUGCAGGCGUUAUCCGGAUUUAUUGGGUUUAAAGGGUGCGCAGGCGGCCUGGUAACUCAGCUGGCAAAGGCCCGGGCUAUAACCCCGGCCCGCCGUUGAAACUGGCAGUCUCGAGUUGGAGAGAAGUAUGCGGAAUGCGCGGUGUAGCGGUGAAAUGCAUAGAUAUCGCGCAGAACUCCGAUUGCGAAGGCAGCAUGCCGGCUCCACACUGACGCUGAGGCACGAAAGCGUGGGUAUCGAACAGGAUUAGAUACCCCAGUAGUC
rnacentral:rRNA from 1 species